AACGAACGCUGGCGGCAGGCCUAACACAUGCAAGUCGAGCGGGGACUUCGGUCCUAGCGGCGGACGGGUGAGUAACGCGUGGGAACGUGCCCUUUGCUUCGGAAUAGCCCCUGGAAACGGGGAGUAAUACCGGAUGUGCCCUAUGGGGGAAAGAAUUUCGGCAAAGGAUCGGCCCGCGUUGGAUUAGGUAGUUGGUGGGGUAAUGGCCUACCAAGCCGACGAUCCAUAGCUGGUUUGAGAGGAUGAUCAGCCACACUGGGACUGAGACACGGCCCAGACUCCUACGGGAGGCAGCAGUGGGGAAUCUUAGACAAUGGGCGCAAGCCUGAUCUAGCCAUGCCGCGUGAGCGAUGAAGGCCUUAGGGUUGUAAAGCUCUUUCGUGGGGGGAAGAUAAUGACGGUACCCCAAGAAGAAGCCCCGGCUAACUCCGUGGCCAGCAGCCGCGGUAAU
rnacentral:rRNA from 1 species